rnacentral:tRNA from 1 species
GUAGAUAUAGUUUAAAAAAAACAUUAGACUGUGAAUCUAAAAACAGGUAAUAAAACCCCUUAUUUACC